CUUCAACGAGCCCAACCACAACGGCCGGUCCCCCGGCCGGUCCUGACCGUAGGUCGCCAGCAACGCCUGCGCCUC
rfam:Streptomyces atratus strain OK807 genome assembly, contig: Ga0007934_1043